rnacentral:lncRNA from 10 species
AAAUUAUUAAGUUCCCUCUGUAUGCAGAAUAUUGUGCAACAUGGUUAUGGGUACUACAGUGGAUGUGAGUGUGUAGACCUUGUACAAUAGAGCUUAUAGGCUAAUGAGAAGACAGGAAGAAACAACAGGAACACAUAUAGCUGGAAUGCAGAUGGGAUCUGUGCUACUUACGCUAGCCAUGGGAUGAUUAGAACAAGAUAAGAGACAUGAGGAAGACUUCUUCAAGGAGGUGCUCAAGCCAUGUUUUGGAAAAGAGAACUCAAGGUCUGGCAGGGAGAAAGGAGCAAGGGCAAGUAGAGCUGCAGCUGUCUGGCGCCACUGUAAUGCUGUCUCCUCCUCUGAGUGAGUUCAUCCUGGAAACAUUUUCUCCCAUAAGACAUGCACAGGUCUUACGUUUACAUGUUUCACUGAAAGAAAUUUGAUUCCACUGCUGGGAUGACAAGGAAGACUGAAGAAACCUAAUCCUAGGUGCUGCCACUGGGACAAACAAGAAGCACCAGACACAGUGCUGUUUUAGGGUGGGGCAGAAUUAUGCUGAGGGAAAAGUUAUUAUCACUCUUUAAGGCCAAGGAAACCACAAUUUUUAAAGAAGCUUCUAGAAAUUCUACCCAGUAGAAAAUAAAGAUAAACUUCUGUAAGGAAUUUCAUUCUUUUCAGAAUUCGCAAUCUGAAAUGUAGAAGCCCAUUCCUUCAUGGUUCUCAUAGAUAUUUAGUGUGACUGAGGGGUCAGUGGACUCAUAGCACUCAGGCCAGGCUUCUCCUGAGUCCCUUUCUUUGGCACAGAGGGAGUGAUUCACAGAUCCUCUACCCCCAAAGGCAUUGUUUCCUCAUCUCAACAAGAAUCCAGCACCCGUCAUUUUAUCAGCACACGUCACUAGCUUCUCAAGUGAGACUACUCUGAAGUGAUCUGUGUUUGAAGAAUGCCUUUCCCUUUCCCUUACGUAACUAAGAGGAUGAAAAAGGACACUCACUCCCUAUAUGAAAGCUGUGUAUUGUAAGCAGUCAUCUUGCCUGGCUGAGAACUCUAGGAUCUUUUUCUCUGCUCUCCUUUAGGCUGACACUCAUAGCCAGACCUUCUGUUUAUUAGCCCCCUGAAUCUAUUUGAAAAUAUUUUUGCUUUCAUUAUAAUAUAAGUCACAUUCUUCUUGCAUCUGCCGCUGCAUUUUCCAAAAGGGUUAUGUCAAGGGAAAUUCAACACUCACUUUUCUCAUUAUUUGCUUACCAGCUUGCUCACUCAUCAAAAUACCAGAGUUAUUUGAUACUUCAGAAGAUUAUUUCCCCCUUUAGAUGAUGUGUCAAGGGAAGGGGAGCUGGCCCCAGUAUCAGGUGACAGAAUUUUCUUCGCAUUUCUACUGUUGACUCAAUAAAUGCCCUUGGGCAAGUCAUGGAGCCUCUUCAUACUUUGGUCUCUAGGGAUAAAAUCUGCCAACCGCAGCAUGUGUAUUUGAACCUCAGUGUCCUCUGGAAUAAAAAUAGGAGGGGACCAGGUGUCCAUGUGACCCCAAGCUGAUGGGAAGAGGAUGACCAUAGGACUUCAAAAUGUCCUUGAGCUGUAAAUUCUGUAAUAGGGUCAGGCCCACCAGUGGCCUUCAGGCAUUUGUCCAGUGGUGUAUGGAUAAGUUCUAGCACUUGAGUUUUUUCAGCACAAAGGAGGCACUAUGUCAACCUCCCACCCAUGGGUAUUCUGUUUGCUCUGUGUCCCCGCUUCUCUGCAUUUCCCUGCCAUAUUACUCACCACUGGUCGUAAUUACUUGCUUGAUCACUUGUCUCCUGGUCUGUAAGCUGUUUGAGGGAGGGGAGCACAUCUGCCCUAUGCAACACUGUACCCUCAGUGUGGUACACAGGAGCACAUGCCUGACAUAUGGAAGUUAUGUGAGAAACAUUUGUGAAGUGGACAAAUUAAUAAUGCUGCCUGGACUCUAUAGAAAUCCCUUUUCUGCAUCAUUAAGGUUCCCAAGCCUGGCCAAGAAGUAGUGGGAUCUGAUUAGCCUCAUCUCCUCAUAACCCUACUUCCUAUAAUAUUAUAAUGAAAGCAGAUCUCAGCCCAAAUGCUGGCACACAUACAUAUUUAUCAGUAAGAAGAUCCAAAAUCGUUCAUGCAGCUGGUUCUGUAAGCUUGGCAAAUUUCCAGCCCUCUGAACUUUUCAGUGCUUUGUCCACACUCUACAUGAAAGGGCCUCUUAAGAGUGACAGGGCAGUAUUCUAAAGACCAGAUUUUAAUUGCACCAGGUAACUGAAUUGUCUGAAUUCACAGCUGAACACAGGACAAGGUCAGAAUCAUAUUUCUUAUGCCAUUUAGAAAGGUGACAAGUGAAGGGCUGGCCAAAAUCUUACACCCAGCUUACGUAAGAGUAGAGACUGUCCCUAAUGCUUUCCCCAGUCCACUUGUCUCGAACACCAUUAGGUUCAAUAGUAAAAGCCCAUUUCUCACUUGCUUCAUGUUAAUUGACUGAUCACUAAUUUUACCAAUAAGAAGCCAUUUUUAUUAUUUAUCAUUAUGAUUUUUAUCAUUUUGUUAAUUAGCCAAGCUUCUGCUGUUGACUCCAGAUAAAGAGAGUUAAAGCACUUGGGGUGACCACCUAAGUAGAUUUUUUCAUGGUGAACAAAUGGAAGCAACAGAAACAGCUCAGACUUUUGAAAAGUGAUGAAAAAGGCCCAUGAUGCCCUGCUCCUUGAAAAUGAAGAAGAGGAUGACUUAGCCCUGCAGGGCUCUUUUCUUUGCAUGUUCUUACCAACCCUCAGGGGAGAUUCAGUCUACUAGCUGGCUUCCCCACGUGGACCUCACUCUGUGGCAAGUAACUGGGAGUAAUUUACCUUCUGGGUUCUCUUACAACCCCCUUAGCUAUGUAGGUGAUUUCAGGCCCAAGGGGGAAGAUAUCAGAUAAGCCAGAACAUUUUGAUUCUACUGACCGAGUUUCCUCACCUCCCUCCCUUUGUUUCUGAUAAAUACAUACGUUAAGGUCAGCUGAA